rnacentral:rRNA from 1 species
CAGCAGCCGCGGUAAAACAGAGGGUGCGAGCGUUAAUCGGAUUUACUGGGCGUAAAGCGUGCGUAGGCGGCUUCUUAAGUCGGAUGUGAAAUCCCUGAGCUUAACUUAGGAAUUGCAUUCGAUACUGGGAAGCUAGAGUAUGGGAGAGGAUGGUAGAAUUCCAGGUGUAGCGGUGAAAUGCGUAGAGAUCUGGAGGAAUACCGAUGGCGAAGGCAGCCAUCUGGCCUAAUACUGACGCUGAGGUACGAAAGCAUGGGGAGCAAACAGGAUUAGAUACCCCAGAGUCCCUGUCUCUUAUACA